rnacentral:rRNA from 1 species
ACUCAAAUGAAUAGACGGGGUCCCGCACAAGCAGCGGAGCAUGUUGUUUAAUUCGUGGCUACGCGAAGAACCUUACCAGGUCUUGACAUCGACGUAAGGCCCUAGAGAUAGGGCGUGCCUUCGGGCAACGGAAGACAGGUGGUGCAUGGUUGUCGUCAGCUCGUGUCGUGAGAUGUUGGGUUAAGUCCCGCAACGAGCGCAACCCUUAUCGUCAGUUACUAACGGGUGGAGCCGAGGACUCUGACGAGACUGCCGGGGACAACUCGGAGGAAGGUGGGGACGAUGUCAAAUCAUCAUGCCCCUUAUGACCUGGGCUACAAACGUGCUACAAUGGUGCUUUACAAAGAGAUGCGAGCGCGCGAGCGUGAGCGGAUCUCAGAAAAGGCAUCUCAGUUCGGAUUGCGGGCUGCAACCCGCCCGCAUGAAGUCGGAGUUGCUAGUAAUCGCGAAUCAGAAUGUCGCGGUGAAUACGUUCCCGGGGCUUGUACACACCGCCCGU